rnacentral:rRNA from 1 species
GCAAGUCAAAGGAAAGUGACUUCGGUUACAAGUACUUGGCGCACGGGUGAGUAAGGUAUAGGUAAUUUGCCUACAGGACCGGGAUAACCCCGAGAAAUCGGGGACAAUACCGGAUGAUGCAGCGGAACCGCAUAGUUAUGUUGUUAAAACAGGAAGGGGCUGUAGAUAAGCCUAUAUACCAUCAGGUAGUUGGCAGGGUAAUGGCCUGCCAAGCCUACGACGGAUAGCUGGUCUGAGAGGAUGAUC